UUCGUAGGCGGGCUAUUUAGUCAGAGGUGAAAGCCAUCGGCUCAACCGAUGAAUUGCCUCUGAUACUGGUAGUCUUGGGUCCGUUAGGGGGUGGUGGAAUUCCUGGUGAAGCGGUGAAAUGCGUAAAUAUCAGGAGGAACACCAGUGGCGAAGGCGACCACCUGGGACGGUACUGACGCUGAGGAACGAAAGCAUGGGUAUCAAACAGGAUUAGAUACCCUGGUAGUCC
rnacentral:rRNA from 1 species